CAAUAGCGUAUAUUUAAGUUGUUGCAGUUAAAAAGCUCGUAGUUGGAUUUCGGUUAAGAGCGACCGGUCCGCCGUUUGGUGUGCACUGGUUGGUUUUAACUUCCUGUAGAGGACGUGCUCUGGGUUUAACGACCUGGAAUCGGAGUCUACGUGGUUACUUUGAAAAAAUUAGAGUGUUCAAAGCGGGCUUACGCUUGAAUAUUUCAGCAUGGAAUAACACUAUAGGACUCCUGUCCUAUUUCGUUGGUCUCGGGACGGGAGUAAUGAUUAAGAGGAACAGUUGGGGGCAUUCGUAUUUCAUUGUCAGAGGUGAAAUUCUUGGAUUUAUGAAAGACGAACUUCUGCGAAAGCAUUUGCCAAGGAUGUUUUCAUUAA
rnacentral:rRNA from 1 species